UCCACUUGACAUUGAUGUGGCAUUUUUGGGCCCCACGGAGAGCCCCAAAUCUGGGAGGAAUCACCACCUUCCUUGGAAAUAAGCACAUCUCAAGGCACUGGCUGAUCUGAAAGACUUGUGUCUCCCUGCCUGUGACCUGGCAUCUUCUGCUUAACAUGUUGAUUUUCACCAAAUAGACCCAUAUAAGAAGAAUUUGUCAGCAGGAAGUUAAGAAAAGAUAAGGAGAACUCCACUAACUGGGCUCCUUCAAAUAUACAUCAAAUUGCCUCCAAGUUUGCCAAACCUUCCAAGGAGGAAUUAAGGAAUACAAAAGAGAUGGAGAAACGACUGGUAUGAAGGAGAGCUGAAAGCCUACAGAACAUUUUCAGAGGCAAAUCAGUACAUAUGGAUUCCCCUUGCCACAAAUGACAGCCGGGACACUUGACUGCUGCAUCCUUUUCAACUUGGAGAUGCUCUAGCCCUGAAAACUGCAUGGUCACCCUGGAAAUGUGGGAUAAGCAGGAUAAAAUUGCAGGAUGCCCCUGGGAGGUUGUUUUAAAAGCAGAUCAGAAGCAACAGUCUGCACAGGAAAAUUUUGAUCUAUUCCUUAGUUCCUACUUCUUCAAUUUUGGAGACGCACAUUAAUAAACCAUAAAAGUAAAUUAUCCCUCCACCGACAAAGAUCCAACCUUGACCUUUCUGCAGCACAAUUAACAUGCAAAAGCAUUUUUGCCAUAUGACUAAAAUUGUUCCUUUCAUUUACACCUCAUUUUCUGCCAGCACCAAUGUGUAAGGUGGUCAUGACUCACAAUAAAUGUCUGGUAGUUCUACAAUAAAAUCCUGAUUUUGAGGGACUUCCAAUUUGAGCUGGACAAAAACCUCAUAAGAUGUAACUUACUCUUGAAUUCAGCAUUCUGGUCCACAUACAGCUUUGUUUCCUCUGAUUUUUGUGUGUGAAAUUUUCUCACCAGGGGUUUCCUAGAAGUAAAUCUUGUUCUCAUGUCUCACACAAAAGCAACCCUGCUACAAGUACCUGACCCUUGGCAUGCAACAGAGGAAUGUACUUGAUUCACUGCUAUCAUUUAUGGUAUUUUUGCCAGUGCUGCAGUUGUGCCACUCCAUUCCUAAGCAGGAAAAACCACCCUUGGAUGGGCUGCAGCCAGAUGACAACUGGUAAUGCUGAGAUGCUGCAGGUGGCACACGUGGCUGGGGAAGUUUGCACACAAGCACCCAUCAGGCAUUUCAGAGCUCUACAUACAUAAAAGUUCUGCUAAUUUCUACAAUAAACGUGCAGGGGACAAACUCUAUAUUUAAAUUGCAGUUCAAACUUUGGACUUAACACUAUUGUAUUUUAAUAUGCUAAAUGUCAUGUGGCUUCUGGUAGUGGAAUAAUACAAGCAACUCAGUCUGUUAUGCAUUCACGGAUUAGGUUGUAAAUGUUUGUAAACCAGGCAAUAAAGCUGUGUGAGCAGAAGCAUUUACAAGAUAAUAGUGAAGUAAUUUGAGUUUUAAAAUUAUAGAAGUUGGUGUUUGGCAAUGUUGUGUGGGGAGACAGACACCGGACAGCUGAAAACAUAGAAAACAUUAUAACCAACAGAAGAACACAGUCCAAGGUGAAGAACAGCUUCCAAAUAUGUAUAAAUGGCAUGAUUUAGGGAUAAACAUUGCAGAUCAUUUUGCCUUUAGAUAAAGGAGGGUCUGUUUUCUUGCAACAAGAGCUCUGGAUCUUCUCUCCUGGUCAUUUGCAAAGCAAAGGGAUUGGGAAUGUGAUGCUAAACUUUUGGAGAAUGCACAUGAGCAUAAUUAUGUGUUGGUAGUUAAUGACAUUAAACUUAAAUCUCAAU